ACCUUCGGGCCUCACGCGAUGAGAUGAGCCGAUGCCGGAUUAGCUAGUUGGCGGGGUAAACGGCCCACCAAGGCGACGAUCCGUAGCUGGUCUGAGAGGAUGAUCAGCCACACUGGAACUGAGACACGGUCCAGACUCCUACGGGAGGCAGCAGGUGGGGAAUAUUGGACAAUGGGGGCGACCCUGAUCCAGCCAUGCCGCGUGUGUGAAGAAGGCCUUCGGGUUGUAAAGCACUUUUGUUGGGGAAGAAACCGGCCGGGUUAAUACCCUGGUUGAAUGACGGUACCCAAAGAAUAAGCACCGGCUAACUUCGUG
rnacentral:rRNA from 1 species